rnacentral:rRNA from 1 species
UCAGACGAUGCGUCAUGCAUAUCAAUAAGCGGAGGAAAAGAAACUAACAAGGAUUCCCCUAGUAACGGCGAGUGAAGCGGGAAGAGCUCAAAUUUGAAAUCUUAAAGGGUUUCCCUUUACGAAUUGUAGUUUAAAGAAGUGUUUUCUGUUGAGGUUUUGGUAAAAGUUCUUUGGAAUAGGACAUCAUAGAGGGUGAGAAUCCCGUAUUUGACCUUUACUUUCAACUUUGUGAUACACUUUCAAAGAGUCGGAUUGUUUGGGAAUGCAGUCCAAAAUGGGUGGUAAAUUUCAUCUAAAGCUAAAUAUUGGCGAGAGACCGAUAGCGAACAAGUACCGUGAGGGAAAGAUGAAAAGAACUUUGGAAAGAGAGUUAAACAGUACGUGAAAUUGUCAAAAGGGAAGCGUUUGACACCAGUGUUGUUUUUCUGAAAAUCAAUUAAAGAACUGUUUAUGCUAAGCUGUUUAGACUUUAUCAGCUAUCUGUUUAGUUUUGAGCUUUUCUUUAAUGCACUUUUCAGUUAACAAGUCAACAUCAAUUUCUUUUGCUGUAAAAAAGCUUGAGGAAGGUGGCUUGAGAUUCGUCUUAAGUGUUUAUAGCCUCUUGCCUAUGCAGUCGGAGAGAUUGAGGUCUGCAGCGUAGAUCCUUCGGGGCUAAAUGCAUUUGUGCUAAGUUAUAGCAUUUUAUAGACAACUUGUUGACUAUGAUUUGUCUUGUAGCUUACUCGCUUAUGUUAUUUUACCUACGCUUAGGAUGUUGAAUCUGUGCGAGACUAC